rnacentral:snRNA from 1 species
GUGCUCCCUUUGCAGCAUGUAUACUAAAAUUGUAAUGAUAUAGAGAAGAUUAGCAUGUCCCCUGACCAAGGAAGACACGCAAAUUCGUGAAGCCUUCCAUAUUUUU